CACGUAGGGCGCAAGCGUUGUCCGGAAUUAUUGGGCGUAAAGAGCUCGUAGGCGGCUUGUUGCGUCGUCCGUGAAAACCUGUGGCUCAACUACAGGCUUGCGGUCGAUACGGGCGGGCUGGAGUUCGGUAGGGGAGACUGGAAUUCCUGGUGUAGCGGUGAAAUGCGCAGAUAUCAGGAGGAACACCGGUGGCGAAGGCGGGUCUCUGGGCCGAUACUGACGCUGAGGAGCGAAAGCGUGGGUAGCGAACAGG
rnacentral:rRNA from 1 species